rnacentral:lncRNA from 1 species
GCAGAGGCUCAGGGUUUCUAGAAGCCAGAGUAACUAAUCACCAUCUUACAGCAUUUGGUGGUAGCUGAUUACACCGAGGGGCAGCGACUAGAUGACUUUCACCUGUUGGCUUUGCCAUUUCCAGAUGGGGUUGUCUUAGCAGAAUCUUAAGAAACAGGUUUAUUGAGUUACAUUCCUAGGGUUACCUGAAUGGAAGUGCGCAAGUGAAAACAAUGGCUGGUAAUUCAGGGUCGAAUACUCUGUGGGACAAGGACCAGCAUCUCUCCCACCGACCUGUAACACUGGCCGACCUCUGGCUCCCGACUGGUUCUCAGUUCUAGAUAGUUCGUCAGCCAGGGCCGGUCUUGGUGACACCUGAUCUGAGCUGCAAGAUGCUUGGCUGUUCACAUCACCGCUUUACACGAAUGAGUGCUGCGUCCUGCUCUACAUCCAGGUUCGCGUCCCCGCCCCCUUCCCAAGGACAGACACCAUCUAUGGCUUGGCAGGCCUCAAAGCCUAGCUCUGUUACAGUUUCGUUUUCCUGCAAAAAUGAAACCUAUCUCAUUGGCUGUGACUCAGUCAGAAGGGAGUGUGUUAUAAAUAUCCAGAGUCAGAUCUUCUGGAAACACAAACAAGAUUCCAAGCUCAGACUUCUGGGUCUGAGACACAUUUUGAGAAAAUCUGCUUCUGGAUUUGAAUCUGGUGGGUGCUUGUCACUCUCUGUGCCAUGGUAGUCAUCCCAAUAGCCAGCGUAGCCUCUUCCCUGGCUUCUAAGAUGAUGGCAUCCAAGAUGGUGGCAGUGAGCCUGGCCAAAGCCACCUCGGCGGCAUGCGGCAGUGCCCUUGCUGGACUUCCGUCCACAGGACUCGCCUUGUCAUCCAGCGCUGCCCUGAGCCAGGCCACAGCUUCCCUGGGAUCCCUGCUGGGGACACUGAGUGGCUCCGUAGUAUCCCCGGCUUCAGCCUUGAUUAUUUCCCCGCUCGGAGCCAAGGCCGGUGCAGCUGUGAUAGGAGGAGCCGUGGCCGUGGGGGCCGUGCCCGUCGUGCUGGGCGCCAUGGGCUUCACCGGGGCGGGAAUUGCCGCCUCUUCCCUAGCGGCGAAGAUGAUGUCCAUUGCCGCCAUCGCCAACGGGGGCGGAGUUGCUGCGGGGAGCCUGGUGGCUACGCUUCAGUCCGUGGGAGCGACUGGACUCUCACUGUCAUCCAAAAUCAUCGUGGGCUAUGCUGGGUCUGUCCUUGCAUCUGGCAUGGUCGGCCUGGGG